AUUGAACGCUGGCGGCAUGCUUUACACAUGCAAGUCGAACGGCAGCGCGGGCUUCGGCCUGGCGGCGAGUGGCGAACGGGUGAGUAAUACAUCGGAACGUGCCCAGUAGUGGGGGAUAGCUCGGCGAAAGCCGGAUUAAUACCGCAUACGACCUGAGGGUGAAAGCGGGGGAUCUUCGGACCUCGCGCUAUUGGAGCGGCCGCUGGCCGAUUAGCUAGUUGGUGGGGUAAAGGCCUCCAAGGCGCCGAUCUGUAGCUGGUCUGAGAGGACGACCAGCCACACUGGGACUGAGACACGGCCCAGACUCCUACGGGAGGCAGCAGUGGGGAAUUUUGGACAAUGGGCGAAAGCCUGAUCCAGCAAUGCCGCGUGUGUGAUGAAGGCCUUCGGGUUGUAAAGCACUUUUGGCGGUAACGAAAAGGACUGUGCCAAUACCACGGUUCGAUGACGGUACCCGCAGAAUAAGCACCGGCUAACUACGUG
rnacentral:rRNA from 1 species